GAUGAACGCUAGCUACAGGCUUAACACAAGCAAGUCGAGGGGAAACGACAUCGAAAGCUUGCUUUUGAUGGGCGUCGACCGGCGCACGGGUGAGUAACGCGUAUCCAACCUGCCCAUCACUUGGGGAUAACCUUGCGAAAGUAAGACUAAUACCCAAUGAUAUCUCUAGAAGACAUCUGAAGGAGAUUAAAGAUUCAUCGGUGAUGGAUGGGGAUGCGUCUGAUUAGCUUGUUGGCGGGGUAACGGCCCACCAAGGCGACGAUCAGUAGGGGUUCUGAGAGGAAGGUCCCCCACAUUGGAACUGAGACACGGUCCAAACUCCUACGGGAGGCAGCAGUGAGGAAUAUUGGUCAAUGGACGAGAGUCUGAACCAGCCAAGUAGCGUGCAGGAUGACGGCCCUAUGGGUUGUAAACUGCUUUUGUAAGGGAAUAAAGUGAGUCUCGUGAGACUUUUUGCAUGUACCUUAUGAAUAAGGACCGGCUAAUUCCGUGCCAGCAGCCGCGGUAAUACGGAAGGUCCGGGCGUUAUCCGGAUUUAUUGGGUUUAAAGGGAGCGUAGGCCGGAGAUUAAGCGUGUUGUGAAAUGUAGACGCUCAACGUCUGCACUGCAGCGCGAACUGGUUUCCUUGAGUACGCACAAAGUGGGCGGAAUUCGUGGUGUAGCGGUGAAAUGCUUAGAUAUCACGAAGAACUCCGAUUGCGAAGGCAGCUCACUGGAGCGCAACUGACGCUGAAGCUCGAAAGUGCGGGUAUCGAACAGGAUUAGAUACCCUGGUAGUCCGCACGGUAAACGAUGGAUGCCCGCUGUUGGUCUGAAUAGGUCAGCGGCCAAGCGAAAGCAUUAAGCAUCCCACCUGGGGAGUACGCCGGCAACGGUGCAACUCAAAUGAAUUGACGG
rnacentral:rRNA from 1 species